rnacentral:lncRNA from 1 species
UAACCUUUUGAAAAGGUUAUUUCCAUGUAUUUGCCAGUAAGGACUUGAAGAGGUGGAAACCUUUGAACCGAACGACGUCUAUCGCAGCAAUCUAUAGUAAGCGGGACGUUAAAACCCCGCCGGACAAGCUUUAUCUCCGGCUGCUAAGCUAAGGAUUCCGUGGGAUUGUGUAAAAGUAACGUGGGUCUGACCAGAGAAGCAGGUAAGAACUAUUUCUGUGGUUUUUAAUUUUUAGGUUUAAACUUUUAUUUGAGUUACUCGUUUUAUUUGCAUUUUAUUUGUUGGGACUUCUAGAUUUUAUUAUGUGGGUAGAGUCCAUCUUAUAUUUUGUUAGUUCUUGUUGCCUUCUUCCUCGUCGUGCUUGUUUUGAUUAUUUGGAAUUCUUUUCUCGACUUGAUUCUAUGUUUUUGUAAAUUAAAUUGGUUGGGUUUCGGUGGUUAAAUGAUAAAAAUGGACACUUGAUUCAAGGUAUGCACGCAUUAGUUCAUAUAUAUUUGGUUAAAUUAUGGAAUUAAUGGAUCCAUGGUAGGUUUCAUGCUUUUUUUGAGUUUAUGGUGUUGAGAAUUUUGAUAUUUGUCAAUUAGUAUCUGCUACAAGCAGUGGUAGAGCCAGGACUGUGUUCCCGUGA